AUACGUAGGGAGCGAGCGUUGUCCGGAAUUACUGGGCGUAAAGGGCGCGUAGGCGGCCAGACAAGUUGUAUGUGAAAGACCAGGGCUCAACUCUGGGGGGUCAUACAAAACUGUCGGGCUUGAGUGUGGUAGAGGAUAGCGGAAUUCCUAGUGUAGCGGUGAAAUGCGUAGAUAUUAGGAGGAACACCAGUGGCGAAGGCGGAUAUCUGGGCCACAACUGACGCUGAGGCGCGAAAGCGUGGGGAGCAAACAGGAUUAGAUACCCUGGUAGUCCACGCUGUAAACGAUGAAUGCUAGGUGUAGGGGGUAUCGACCCCUUCUGUGCCGCAGUUAACACAAUAAGCAUUCCGCCUGGGGAGUACGGCCGCAAGGUUGAAACUCAAAUGAAUUGGCGGGG
rnacentral:rRNA from 1 species